rnacentral:misc_RNA from 1 species
GGACUACAGGGGUUUCUAAUCCUGUUUGCUCCCCACGCUGUCGCGCAUCAGUGUCAGAAACUGCCCAGCAGACCGCCUUCGCCACCGGUCUUCCUCCGGAUCUCUACGCAUUCCACCGCUACACCCGGAAUUCCGUCUGCCUCUACAGCCCUCAAGUUUGACAGUCGGCACGGCAGACCCGGGGUUGAGCCCCGGGCUUUCACCACACCCUUAUCAAACCACCUACGCGCCCUUUACGCCCAGUGAUUCCGGACAACGCUCGCACCCCCCGUAUUACCGCGGCUGCUGGCACGGAGUUAGCCGGUGCUUCCUCACCCGGUACCGUCAGGCUCGAUUAAUCGAGCUAUUCGUCCCGGGCAACAGUGGUUUACACUCCGAAGAGCUUCAUCCCACACGCGGC